rnacentral:lncRNA from 1 species
AAUUAACUAGCAGUGAUUCUAUUAAUAUAUGUGAAAAGAAUAAAAAUUGUAUCACUUGAAUCGAGUCAAAUAAGAGGUCGUGGCCAUUCAUCAGGAGGAAAGAAUAGUUCUGCAGGCCUGCAACAUAUCGGAUUGGCAGCAUUAAGAGAAAUGUGCAGGCCUGCAGCAUAGGGGAUUGGUGGUGUUAGUGAACAAUAGUACUGUGGCUGAUGAGUCAGCAUGGUUAGGUCUGCGGGUCAAUGUCGGGGACUUCUGGUGGAGUGAAUGGGAUGAUGAGGUGGCUGCACCUCUUGAGCGUCUCGGGCGUGAGUCGGACCGGCGGGGUCGGUCGAGCUCAGGUGAGUGGAUGCGGGUCAGCGCUCUAUGGUCUGCCGACUAGAGUGUUGUCUGUGGUGGGUCGCGUCCUUUCGUCCCCGGGGUGGUAGGCAGCUUUUCUUCGCGACGUGGCCGCACCCUCGGGAAGGGGUGCUAGUUGGCGUUGGUCGGGAUCCGGGCCGACGGAUUGCUCUGCUUUGCGCACCGGAUGGCGAUUCCCGGGUGGAGACGUUCGCCGCUCGGGGGUGAUCGCCUCCCUGCAAAAAUGGCAUUUGUCGGGUGUUUCCCGACUUUGGCCCCUCCGACGAGCAAGUCAGUCGAGUAUUCUUUUUUUCCUGCUUUUUUUCGUGUCCCCUAGGCCGGGCGUCGGACAUGGGUUUUUAUACCAGCGUGCGAGGAUUGGUCGCGCCUCGGUUCGGCGUGGCCGCUGACUUUCGUGGGGGCGGGACGACUUCUCUGACGAGUUGGCGUCUUUGGGGGUGCCUGAGCGGCAUCAGACAGCACCGCCACGAGCUCUCGGGGUGGUCAUGUCGCACAGUGUAUCGGUACGGAACCCGACGUGGCGUGCACCUCGGGGUUCUGAUGGCAUAUGGCGUCGAGUUUGUGGCUGAUGGGGUGUGACGUCGCUGGUGAUUCAUCUGGGGCCAAAAUAUGCCCUAUCAGGUGGCAUUAGAGGGAAUGCUGUUCAAGGGAUGGAUUUUAGAUGGGAACAAAGAAGUAUAUGCCAACAACAUUCUUGGGAUGUGGAUGGGCAAGGCAGCUGCAGAGCUAACAACAUAAAUGAAUUACAAUCUAGAACUUGAUGCGCUCAAAAGACCAUUGACGUGGCAAGUACUCAUGUAAACUACACAACCCACACUCUCAGUCAUUUAUAUUUGGAAAAGAGCCCUUAGGAAACCGAGAUGUUUUAUUUUUAAACCAUAUAACUUCUAUAAUAGCAAUUAUAUCUCGUACAAUUAACAUUCAUGUGUUUUCACAAAAAAAUAAACAUUUACUUUGACUUUCCUUUUUAAAUACAAGUAUACAACAACAAACCGCAAUGUCCCACAUGAAUUUUUUUUCAUCAAGUUUUGUAUAAAUUCAUAUCCUUAAUUAAAUCAGGAGCAUUUUAUUUUUAUUUAUAUUUUCUAGGAAAGUCUCCUUAGCCUUUCUUCUAUCUCUCCUCAUACUAAUGUUAAUCAUAUCAUCUUACUAAAGUGUCCAUAGAUCUCUUUAAAACAUGCCCAUGCUAUGUUUAUUUUUUUUGGAUGAAAAUAAAUUUUAUUUUUCAUAAAAAAAUUAUAUAUCCAUCUUAGCAUUCUUAUUUUAGCAACAUAAUAUUUUUGUACAUGUUGCAUCUUAAUCAUCCAACACUUGGAUUCAUAAAUUCCAUAAAGCAUCACUGCCUAAUAAUUAUUUUAUUAAAAAACUCUUUUUAACAUAAAGAGUAGCUGUUAAUGCUGUUAAUCGCACAAAAUUUCCGAUGCACCUUUUCACUUUAACCAUCCAAUUUUAAUCCCUGAAGUAUGAAUAAUAUCGUCAAUCUAUGAAGUAUGAAUAAUAUAUAAAUUGCUUCAUCUUGUUAAAUAAUUGAUCUAAAUUUUUGAUCUAUGAAGUAUGAAUAAUUUCGUCAUUGAUCGCUUCAUCUUGUCCAAUAAUUAAUCUGAAUUACUUGAAGACUUUACUUGUUUGGAACUUUUUGUCCACCCAACUUAACUAUAUCAUUUUUUAUUAUUAAAUUUACAUAUAUAUUCGAUCUUUGUAAACAUAUUGUUUCUUAGAUUUACCAUUAUAAUUAAAGUUAGAAAUUAGUUUUAUUUAAACUGUCA